GGGCGGCCGCCGCGGCCCAUUGGCCGGCCGCGGAGUGUCGGUGAAGUCAGCGCCGAGUCCCAGAAAAACAGAGCGGGGCCAACUGCAGCGUGUAGUGCGAGUGGGGCAGGACGCGCGCCACCCGCCUGCCCGGAGACCCGCAAGGGGCUGGCAUUUGUUGGAAGACUUUGUGAAACCUUCUCUCUGCCCAGAGCUCAGGACCAAUGCAUCCCACCACCUUAAACCACUGAGCAGUUCGGAGCCCCCGUAGCGGAAGACUUGUCCUGUUACCAUCAUGAGCUCUG